rnacentral:rRNA from 1 species
CGGCCUUGACAUACUAAGAACUUUCCAGAGAUGGAUUGGUGCCUUCGGGAACUUAGAUACAGGUGCUGCAUGGCUGUCGUCAGCUCGUGUCGUGAGAUGUUGGGUUAAGUCCCGNAACGAGCGCAACCCUUUUCCUAUUUGCCAGCGGGUCAUGCCGGGAACUUUAAGGAUACUGCCAGUGACAAACUGGAGGAAGGCGGGGACGACGUCAAGUCAUCAUGGCCCUUACGGCCAGGGCUACACACGUGCUACAAUGGUCGGUACAAAGGGUUGCUACCUCGCGAGAGGAUGCUAAUCUCAAAAAGCCGAUCGUAGUCCGGAUCGCAGUCUGCAACUCGACUGCGUGAAGUCGGAAUCGCUAGUAAUCGCGGAUCAGAAUGCCGCGGUGAAUACGUUCCCGGGCCUUGUACACACCGCCCGUCACACCAUGGGAGUUUGUUGCACCAGAAGUAGGUAGUCUAACCGCAAGGAGGACGCUUACCACGGUGUGGCCGAUGACUGGGGUGAAGUCGUAACAAGGUAAGCGUAGAUGA